UUAUGUCUUCUCUUCCUCCAUUUGAGCUAUCUACUGUUGAGCUAUCUACUGUUGAAUCUAAACUAAUGAUACCUAAACCCAUGAAAGGAACUACAACUCAAACGACAACAACUAAACCCACAAAAAGAACUACAAGUAAGAC